AAGCCAGACUCCUACGGGAGGCAGCAGUGGGGGAUAUUGCACAAUGGGGGGAACCCUGAUGCAGCGACGCCGCGUGGGUGAAGAAGCGCCUCGGCGCGUAAAGCCCUGUCAGCAGGGAAGAAAAUGACGGUACCUGAAGAAGAAGCCCCGGCUAACUACGUGCCAGCAGCCGCGGUAAUACGUAGGGGGCAAGCGUUAUCCGGAUUUACUGGGUGUAAAGGGGGCGCAGACGGCGAUGCAAGCCAGGAGUGAAAGCCCGGGGCCCAACCCCGGGACUGCUCUUGGAACUGCGUGGCUGGAGUGCAGGAGGGGCAGGCGGAAUUCCUGGUGUAGCGGUGAAAUGCGUAGAUAUCAGGAGGAACACCGGUGGCGAAGGCGGCCUGCUGGACUGCAACUGACGUUGAGGCCCGAAAGCGUGGGGAGCAAACAGGAUUAGAUACCCGAGUACG
rnacentral:rRNA from 1 species